rnacentral:lncRNA from 1 species
AUAGUCAAGUCAAAGAGGUGAAAGAGGCCUUGUGUCCGGUAGUAUUGCGGCAUUCCCUCUUAUCACUACCUAGAGUUAAUAUCAAAUUUGGGCAAUUAGAAAUUUAGUUCGCGUGAUCAAUUUAGACUGCUUGUUCAAUUCGUAAGCUAAAAUCCUUAACCAGCUCCUCGAAUAUUAUCAGGCAAAUUAUUUCAUCAUGGACAUCACCAGUGAGUCGCCUUUAGAAGUACUUUCAAGAGCCGCCUCCAUGCGAGCAGUUCAGGACAAUAUUCUAGGUCUACCUCCAUCAUACGGUCUGAUCAGAGAACAGGAGUGGGAAAACGGUCGGGUGGUCAGAUGUUAGGGGAAGGAUGCAGCGCGGGGAAGAAAUGUCUGUUGCUUCGAUCAAUCACUUCCCUGUCACUUGCCCUGUCCCGUCUCGAGAAAAGGUAGAAUGAAAUAGAAUCCUGAGAAUUUAUAUUGGUUUCAUUUCAUAGAUGAUUGACUCAAAUUUUUGACCUCGUAACGUUUCUUCAGCAACCCAAUACUAUCGAACAGAAUGUUGUUCUUCAUCCAAUACUGAGUUUCUUUUUGAGUCGUGGAGCUUUUAUCUUAAAGUAUCGGCGAAAAUGAAACCAAAAUCACUCUGAAACUGCUGCGUAAACUGUGCACGGAAUGCGAGCUUUCAUCAAUUAUUGCCGUGCAGGGUCGGCCGACGAUUGUGUUUGACAUAAUCUGACGUGCUCCGAUACGUCCCGCUGCGUUCUGUCGUUUCGAUUUUCUACCUGGUCAGCACUGCCAGGUAACUUUGAGUUUCUCAUAAUGUUUCCUCCAAUACUAUGCCAAUGACAUUCAUAUUAGAAACUACGUAAGACGGGAGAAUGUUCCCAUUAAGAACGGUAGG